rnacentral:rRNA from 1 species
UACGUAGGGGGCAAGCGUUGUCCGGAUUUAUUGGGCGUAAAGAGCGUGUAGGCGGCCAGGUAGGUCAGCUGUGAAAACUCGAGGCUCAACCUCGAGACGUCGGUUGAAACCACCUGGCUAGAGUCCGGAAGAGGAGAAUGGAAUUCCCGGUGUAGCGGUGAAAUGCGUAGAUAUUGGGAGGAACACCAGUGGCGAAGGCGGCUCACUGGACCGGAACUGGCGCUGAGGCGCGAAAGCGUGGGGAGCAAACAGG